rnacentral:lncRNA from 13 species
AAUGCCUGUGCAGGACCCAGCCCCAGGGGUGCUCCUGCAGCUGGUCUGGGUGCUGCUGGUUUGGGUGUAGCUGGUCUGGGUGCAGCUGGCCUGGGUGCUGCUGGUCUGGGUGCUGGUGGUCUGGGUGCUGCUGGUCUGGGUGUAGCUGGUUUGGGUGUAGCUGGUCUGGGUGCAGCUGGCCUGGGUGCUGCUGGCCUGGGUACUGCUGGCCUGGGUUCUACUGGUCUGGGUGCUGCUGGCCUGGGUGCUGCUGGUCUGGAUGUAGCUGGUUUGGGUGUAGCUGGCCUGGGUGCUGCUAGCCUGGGUGCUGCUGGUCUGGGUGCUGCUGGCCUGGGUGCUGCUGGUCUGGGUACAGCAGCUGGUCUGGGUGGUUCUGGUCUGGGCAGUGCUGGUCUGGGAGGUGCUGGUCUUCGUGGUGCUGGUCUGGGUGGUUCUGGUCUGCGUGGUGCUGGUCUGGGUGUUGCUGGUCUGGGUGCUGCAGCUGGUCUGGGUGCUGCAGCUGGUCUGGGUGCUGCUGGUCUGGGUGCUGCUGGUCUGGGUACAGCAGCUGGUCUGGGUGGUUCUGGUCUGGGCAGUGCUGGUCUGGGAGGUGCUGGUCUGCGUGGUGCUGGUCUGGGUGGUGCUUGUCUGGGUGGUUCUGGUCUGCGUGGUGCUGGUCUGGGUGGUUCUGGUCUGGGCAGUGCUGGUCGGGUCAGUGCUGGUCUGGGUGUUGCUGGUCUGGGUACUGCUGGUCUGGGUGGUGCUGGUCUGGGUGGUGCUGGUCUGGGUGGUUCUGGUCUGCGUGGUGCUGGUCUGGGUGGUUCUGGUCUGGACAGUGCUGGUCGGAUCAGUGCUGGUCUGGGUGUUGCUGGUCUGGGUGUUGCUGGUCUGGGUGGUGCUGGUCUGGGUGGUGCUGGUCUGGGUGGUUCUGGUCUGGGUGCAGCAGCUGGUCUAGGGGCUGCUGGUCUGGGUGGUGCUGUUCUGGGUGAAGCUGGAAUGUUUAAACUUUGCAGGUGGUUCUUGUGUACAGUGAGUCUGAGAGCGUGGCCUCAGCAUUGGGAGGGCAGGGGUGAUCCUGGGGCCACCAUGGCAUCUGUCCUUGGGGCUGACUCUUGGCUCUGCCUUGGGUGGGCUCCCAUGAGUUCCAUGGAGAGCCAGGGUCUUGGGAGGCAGAGGCAGCAAGCAGACACAGUACCACCAGACAGCCUAGAGGAGUGGCAUUGUUUGGGGACCCAUUGGAUCCCCCCUUGCGCUAGGUACUAG